rnacentral:lncRNA from 1 species
UGCUGCAGCUCAUAAGUUAUAAUCAGAGGAAGGAAACGCCUGAGAGAUCUGAAGGUUUUAAUUGUUGUUGAGUGCAGAUGGUUUGGAUUACCGCACAGGAAUGGAGCUCAACAAAGAUUGAUCAAGUACUUCAAAAUGGGAAGAGGGAAGUUUGGACACAGACACACACAGACAAGAGAAUACCAUGUGACAAAGGCAGAGAUUGGAAUGAUACAGCUGCAAGCCAGGGAUGCCAAGG